AGCAGUGUGGGUUAGUGGAAAGAGCACAGGUUUGGGAGUCAGAGGUCAUGGGUUCAAAUCCCAUCAUGGCCA
rnacentral:tRNA from 1 species